UACGUAGGGUGCAAGCGUUAAUCGGAAUUACUGGGCGUAAAGCGUGCGCAGGCGGUUGUGCAAGACCGAUGUGAAAUCCCCGGGCUUAACCUGGGAAUGGCAUUGGUGACUGCACGGCUAGAGUGUGUCAGAGGGGGGUAGAAUUCCACGUGUAGCAGUGAAAUGCGUAGAGAUGUGGAGGAAUACCGAUGGCGAAGGCAGCCCCCUGGGAUAACACUGAACGGCUGAGGAGCGAAAGCAUGGGGAGCGAACAGG
rnacentral:rRNA from 1 species